rnacentral:rRNA from 3 species
UCUACGGGAGGCAGCAGUGGGGAAUAUUGCACAAUGGGGGGAACCCUGAUGCAGCAACGCCGCGUGAGCGAUGAAGGUCUUCGGAUUGUAAAGCUCUGUCUUCGCUGACGAUAAUGACGGUAAGCGAGGAGGAAGCCACGGCUAACUACGUGCCAGCAGCCGCGGUAAUA